GAUGAACGCUAGCGGCAGGCCUAACACAUGCAAGUCGAGGGGUAGAGGAAGCUUGCUUCCUUGAGACCGGCGCACGGGUGCGUAACGCGUAUGCAAUCUACCUUUUACAGAGGAAUAGCCCAGAGAAAUUUGGAUUAAUACCUCAUAGUAUAUAUCAUUCGCAUGUUUGGUAUAUUAAAGUUCCAACGGUAAAAGAUGAGCAUGCGUCCCAUUAGUUAGUUGGUAAGGUAACGGCUUACCAAGACGAUGAUGGGUAGGGGUCCUGAGAGGGAGAUCCCCCACACUGGUACUGAGACACGGACCAGACUCCUACGGGAGGCAGCAGUGAGGAAUAUUGGUCAAUGGACGCAAGUCUGAACCAGCCAUGCCGCGUGCAGGAAGACGGUCCUAUGGAUUGUAAACUGCUUUUGUACGGGAAGAAACACUCCUACGUGUAGGAGCCUGACGGUACCGUAAGAAUAAGGAUCGGCUAACUCCGUGCCAGCAGCCGCCGCCGAAA
rnacentral:rRNA from 1 species